rnacentral:rRNA from 1 species
CCUACGGGAGGCAGCAGUGAGGAAUAUUGGUCAAUGGGGGGAACCCUGAUGCAGCGACGCCGCGUGGGUGAAGGAGCGUUUCGGCGCGUAAAGCCCUAUCGGCAGGGAAGAAGAAGGACGGUACCUGACUAAGAAGCCCCGGCUAACUACGUGCCAGCAGCCGCGGUAACACGGAGGGGGCAAGCGUUAUCCGGAUUUACUGGGUGUAAAGGGGGCGCAGACGGCAGGGAAAGCCAGGAGGGAAAGCCCGGGGCCCAACCCCGGGACUGCUCUUGGAACAGCGCGGCUGGAGUGCAGGAGGGGCAGGCGGAAUUCCGGGUGUAGCGGUGAAAUGCGUAGAUAGCAGGAGGAACACCGGUGGCGAAGGCGGCCUGCUGGACUGCGACUGACGUUGAGGCCCGAAAGCGUGGGGAGCAAACAGGAUUAGAUACCCUUGUAGUC